rnacentral:rRNA from 1 species
AAAUUGAAGAGUUUGAUCAUGGCUCAGAUUGAACGCUGGCGGCAGGCCUAACACAUGCAAGUCGAGCGGUAGCACAGAGAGCUUGCUCUCGGGUGACGAGCGGCGGACGGGUGAGUAAUGUCUGGGAAACUGCCUGAUGGAGGGGGAUAACUACUGGAAACGGUAGCUAAUACCGCAUAACGUCGCAAGACCAAAGUGGGGGACCUUCGGGCCUCAUGCCAUCAGAUGUGCCCAGAUGGGAUUAGCUAGUAGGUGGGGUAACGGCUCACCUAGGCGACGAUCCCUAGCUGGUCUGAGAGGAUGACCAGCCACACUGGAACUGAGACACGGUCCAGACUCCUACGGGAGGCAGCAGUGGGGAAUAUUGCACAAUGGGCGCAAGCCUGAUGCAGCCAUGCCGCGUGUGUGAAGAAGGCCUUCGGGUUGUAAAGCACUUUCAGCGGGGAGGAAGGCGGUGAGGUUAAUAACCUCAUCGAUUGACGUUACCCGCAGAAGAAGCACCGGCUAACUCCGUGCCAGCAGCCGCGGUAAUACGGAGGGUGCAAGCGUUAAUCGGAAUUACUGGGCGUAAAGCGCACGCAGGCGGUCUGUCAAGUCGGAUGUGAAAUCCCCGGGCUCAACCUGGGAACUGCAUUCGAAACUGGCAGGCUAGAGUCUUGUAGAGGGGGGUAGAAUUCCAGGUGUAGCGGUGAAAUGCGUAGAGAUCUGGAGGAAUACCGGUGGCGAAGGCGGCCCCCUGGACAAAGACUGACGCUCAGGUGCGAAAGCGUGGGGAGCAAACAGGAUUAGAUACCCUGGUAGUCCACGCCGUAAACGAUGUCGAUUUGGAGGUUGUGCCCUUGAGGCGUGGCUUCCGGAGCUAACGCGUUAAAUCGACCGCCUGGGGAGUACGGCCGCAAGGUUAAAACUCAAAUGAAUUGACGGGGGCCCGCACAAGCGGUGGAGCAUGUGGUUUAAUUCGAUGCAACGCGAAGAACCUUACCUGGUCUUGACAUCCACAGAA